ensembl:lncRNA novel transcript
GGAGCUGCACAGCAAUGAUUCAGGAAAAGGCUGACAAGGAUAUCAGCAGCGUGGGUUUUUUUAAUCCUGAGUCCAGAGAAAAUGCACAAUCAGGAAUAAAGGCGCCCAAGAGAGCAAGGAGAAGGAGAAAUAAUCAGAAUUAGCCAGCUGGCGGGCAGCACAAACAGGGGAUAUGCAACCCCAACAGGGUUGGAGCCUGUGCAGGACCAGCUGAGGAGGUGGCCACGGAUUGGGCAGGCCCAGACAGGCGCAUGAGGGAACUUGGGCUGGCUGGAGCCCAGCAAGCAGGCAGAAGGGAAGACAAUAAAAGAAGCCGUCAUCAGAUCUGAUCUUUAAAAAAAAUGCCCAAAGAGACAUUGGCCAAGUUUCAGCAUGAGGUAUCACUGAAACCACUUCAGGAAGGAUAACACCACCACAGACUUCCUGGGAAGAAGAGAUGUAAACCCACCUCAGAAGAUGACAGCAGUGAAGAAAAUGAGCAUCACAAACUGGUUCCCAAGGCCUGGGCCUGAGAAACACUCAGGAGAGCCAAUUGCUGAAAAAAUAAUAAUAAUAAUACCCAGAGAGAGGAAGCCUUUUCUUCAGGAGGAAACUGACUCACACUCUCUGCCCUCAGAUCUUCCUGUUCUCACCCUUACACCUCCACUCCAACUACAGUGCCUCCUUGCUGUUUCUCAAGCAACCAGGCAUGUUCUCACCUCAACACCUGUAUUGGUUAUUUAUUGCUAUGUAACAUACAACUCGAAAUAGUAGCUGCUUAAAACAAGAAACUCUUUUUUAAAAAACAGUCUCAGAGUUCCUGUGGGUCAGGAACCUGGGAGUGGCAUAGCUAGGUUAUUCUGGUCCCAGGUUUCUCCUAAGAUUAUGCCCAAAAUGUCAAUGCAGUUAUACCCAUUAGAAGGCUGGGGGCUCUGCUUCCAAGGUGGCCCACUCACAAGCCUCAGAAGUUAUUGCUGGCUGUUGUCAGGAGGCUUCAGUUCCUUCCCAUGUGGACUUCUCCAUAGGACUGACUGCUUGAGUGCCCUCACAAGGCAGCAGCUGGCUUUCCACAGGAUGGGUGAUCCAAGAGAGAGAAAGGCUGAAGCUGUCAUCUCUUUUAUGACCCAGCCAUGGAACCCAUAUUUCCACAAUAUCCUAUUGGGUACACGUUAGCCCUAUUCAGUCAGGAGGGGACUACACAAGAACAUGAAUACUGGAGUCAUUGGAGGCCCUCUUUGAGGCUUAGGACCAGUGAGACUUUACACUUAUCACUUCCGCUACCAUCCUUUCCCCAGAUAUCCCCAUGGCUUCUUCUUUUUCCUCCUUCGAAUCUUUGCUCAAAUGUCACUUUUUCAAAAAGACCAGCCUUUUAAAAACUACAGCUCCUCCUCUUGCCCCAGAGCAUUCCCAAAUUUCCUUUCCCAAUUUAUUUUAUUCAUUGCAUUUAUCAUCAAAUACACACACACACACACAUAAUUUUGUGUUUUUGAGUUUUAGAUUUACAGAAAAGCAACAAAGAUAGUACAGAGACUCCCGUAUAUGUUUCACCUGGUUUCUCCUAAUGUUUGUUCUGGUUGAGUUUUUUUGUUAUUGUUGUUUUGUUGUUUUUUUCUGUCUUCCUCCAUUAGAAUAUAAGCGCAAUGAAAGCAGUGACUUUUGCCUAUUUUAUUGGCUGAUGUAUCCUCAGUGCCCAAAACAUUGCCUCACUCACAGUAAACAUUCAAUAAAUAUUUGUUGGAUGAAUGAAAGACUAUAUUACCAGCUCAAAGAAAAGCUGACACUUGCCUUUUGACCUUGAAGUUCUUAACAGAAACACACAGGAUAUUUAACAUAGGAUGACCCAGGGGAUUUAGGUAGAGUAUUUAAAACUCAGCAGGGAAAGGUUUGGGUGAGAAAGUGU